AUUGAACGCUGGCGGCAGGCCUAACACAUGCAAGUCGAGCGGAUGAGAGGAGCUUGCUCCUCGAUUCAGCGGCGGACGGGUGAGUAAUGCCUAGGAAUCUGCCCAGUAGUGGGGGACAACGUUUCGAAAGGAACGCUAAUACAGCAUACGUCCUACGGGAGAAAGUGGGGGAUAUUCGGACCUCACGCUAUUGGAUGAGCAUAGGUCGGAUUAGCUAGUUGGUAGGGUAAAGGCCUACCAAGGCGACUAUCCGUAACUGGUCUGAGAGGAUGAUCAGUCACACUGGAACUGAGACACGGUCCAGACUCCUACGGGAGGCAGCAGUGGGGAAUAUUGGACAAUGGGCGCAAGCCUGAUCCAGCCAUGCCGCGUGUGUGAAGAAGGCCCUCGGGUCGUAAAGCACUUUAAGUUGGGAGGAAGGGCUUACAGCGAAUACCUGUGAGUUUUGACGUUACCGACAGAAUAAGCACCGGCUAACUUCGUGCCAGCCGCCGCCGUAA
rnacentral:rRNA from 1 species